rnacentral:rRNA from 1 species
UACAGAGAUUGCAAGCGUUAUUCGGAUUCACUGGGCGUAAAGGGUGCGCAGGCGGCCGGGUGUGUCAGAUGUGAAAUCCCGAGGCUCAACCUCGGAACUGCGUCUGAAACUACUCGGCUAGAGUACUGGAGAGGGUAACGGAAUUCACGGUGUAGCAGUGAAAUGCGUAGAUAACGUGAGGAACACCAGAGGCGAAGGCGGUUACCUGGACAGUUACCGACGCUCAGGCACGAAAGCAUGGGGAUCAAAAGGG